rnacentral:lncRNA from 1 species
CCUUUCCUGGAGUCAUUUGUGGGAGUUAGGGUCUUAUCCUGAUCUUUCCUCGUCCCCCGCUCCCCCGUCCUCCGAGGUGGCAGCUGCAUCGGGGGUCAUACUACACAUCGAUCGGGACCUUAGUCAUGUUGUGAUAUGGACAGCUUUCUUACCAGUACUCAUAAGCCUGCUUCAUUUUUUACGUGGCGGCACCACUGAGUGGUUGACGGUACUUCAGUCAUUUCCCUGUUGAUGGUCACUUAGGUUGUUCCCAAGAUUUUGCUUUCCCACAGUGUUUCACCCAACCUUUCUUGGACGAAAUAUUUUAGUCCAACUCACCCUAAGUGAUUCUGCUUUUCCCUAUUCACCACCCUAGGUUAGUAACAGCUUACUUUGGGGGAUGAGCACACCUUAUUAACUGAGCAAAAACCAAGAUAAUGUGAGAAGAAUUGGUGUACUCCCAAGAAUAUCCAAGGUGCUGGGUCUAGAAUCAAUUAAAGUCUCCUAAGAAAUGGGUCAGGGAACCUUUAGAGAAGGGAUGACUAGGUGCUGGGUGCACGGCAGCUAGUCAGCGUUAGUGAUUGUUGGCUUCUGUCAAUUGUUGCUCAGGAAACAGAUUUGAGAGAUUCUCUGAGGUGGGAAGGAUUUUAAAUGUCAGCUCUCCUGCUAUGUAUUAUAUGUCUGGAAGGGAUUAGUUCUUUGAGGGAAGAGAGUAUUAAAGAAAACAAUGGGCCGGGCACGGUGGCUCACACCUGUAAUCCCAGCACUUUGGGAGGCCGAGGCAAGGGCGGUGGAUCAUGAGGUCAGGAGAUCGAGACCAUCCUGGCUAACAUGGUGAAACCUCAUUUCUACUAAAAAUACAAAAAAAAAUUAGCUGGGCCUGGUGGCACGUGCCGUAGUCCCAGCUACUCAGGAGGCUGAGGCAGGAGGAUUGCUUGAACCUGGGAGGCAGAGGUUGCAGUGAGCCGAGAUUGUGCCUGGGCAACAGAGCAAGACUCCGUCUCAAAAAAAAAAAAAAAAAAAAGAAAAUGAUGAUCCUUGAAAAGUGACUGCAUCAUGGGGCUGUAUCCUAAUAAGUCUGGAACGUUUUUUCUUAGAGUUCCAGAAUUGAGACUGAAGUGUACCCAGAGACACAAAGAAAUACAGAAGUCCAGAAUGAUCAAAUGAGAUCACUACCCAAUGAAAUGAUGGGCCGAGGAGCCAGAAGUUGUCCUACUACCUGCUUUCCAGGUCCAGAUUCCACGAGAGCCUUCUGGGCUCCCACCAGAGACCCUCAGUGAAGACUCUGUUGAAGACUUUAAGACCAUGCUAGAAAGCCUCCCGGCAGAGGUUCAGGAAGUUCUGCUAUGAGGAUGCAGCUGGCCCCAGGGAUGUCCUCAGGCAUCUCUAGGACCUUGCUGGACGGUGGUGGC